rnacentral:rRNA from 1 species
GGAGCUUGUAUCCUUGAUUCAGCGGCGGACGGGUGAGUAAGGCCUAGGAAUCUGCCUGGUAGUGGGGGACAACGUUUCCAAAGGAACGCUAAUACCGCAUACGUCCUACGGGAGAAAGCAGGGGACCUUCGGGCCUUGCGCUAUCAGAUGAGCCUAGGUCGGAUUAGCUAGUUGGUGGGGUAAUGGCUCACCAAGGCGACGAUCCGUAACUGGUCUGAGAGGAUGAUCAGUCACACUGGAACUGAGACACGGUCCAGACUCCUACGGGAGGCAGCAGUGGGGAAUAUUGGACAAUGGGCGAAAGCCUGAUCCAGCCAUGCCGCGUGUGUGAAGAAGGUCUUCGGAUUGUAAAGCACUUUAAGUUGGGAGGAAGGGCAGUAAGCUAAUACCUUGCUGUUUUGACGUUACCGACAGAAUAAGCACCGGCUAACUCUGUGCCAGCAGCCGCGGUAAUACAGAGGGUGCAAGCGUUAAUCGGAAUUACUGGGCGUAAAGCGCGCGUAGGUGGUUUGUUAAGUUGGAUGUGAAAGCCCCGGGCUCAACCUGGGAACUGCAUCCAAAACUGGCAAGCUAGAGUACGGUAGAGGGUGGUGGAAUUUCC